AACGAACGCUGGCGUCAUUCCUAACACAUGCAAGUCGAACGACACCUUCUGUUCUAGUUGCUCACGAGUGCGUAACGCGUGGGAACCUGCCCUUAUGCUCGUCCUACCUCCCCUAUAGUGGUUCUAAUUCCGGUUCAUCUCUUCGCACCAAAGAUUUAUCUCCUUUGGAUGGGCCCGCGUUGGAUUAGCUAGUUGGUAUGGUAAAAGCCUACCAAGGCGACGAUCCAUAGCUGGUCUGAGAUAAUGCUCAGCCACACUGGGACUGAGACACGGCCCAGACUCGUACGGGAGGAAGGAGUGGGGGAUAUUGGACGAUGGGAGAAAGGCUGAUCCAGCAAUGCCGCGUGAGAGAUGAAGGGCUUAGGGUUGUAAUGCGGUUUUAACCGGGAUGAUAAUGAAAGUACCGGGAGAAUAAGCGCCGGCUAACUCCGUG
rnacentral:rRNA from 1 species